rnacentral:tRNA from 1 species
GCCCCUGUGGCGGAACUGGUAGACGCGGCAGACUCAAAAUCUGUUGUUGGCGACAACGUGCUGGUUCGAUUCCGGCCAGGGGCACCA